rnacentral:rRNA from 1 species
CCAGACAGCCAGGAUGUUGGCUUAGAAGCAGCCAUCAUUUAAAGAAAGCGUAAUAGCUCACUGGUCGAGUCGGCCUGCGCGGAAGAUGUAACGGGGCUAAACCAUGCACCGAAGCUGCGGCAGCGACACUGUGUGUUGUUGGGUAGGGGAGCGUUCUGUAAGCCUGUGAAGGUGGCCUGUGAGGGUUGCUGGAGGUAUCAGAAGUGCGAAUGCUGACAUAAGUAACGAUAAAGCGGGUGAAAAGCCCGCUCGCCGGAAGACCAAGGGUUCCUGUCCAACGUUAAUCGGGGCAGGGUGAGUCGACCCCUAAGGCGAGGCCGAAAGGCGUAGUCGAUGGGAAACGGGUUAAUAUUCCCGUACUUGGUGUUACUGCGAAGGGGGGACGGAGAAGGCUAUGUUGGCCGGGCGACGGUUGUCCCGGUUUAAGCGUGUAGGUGUGUGUUCCAGGUAAAUCCGGUUCACUUUAACACUGAGGCGUGAUGACGAGGCACUACGGUGCUGAAGCAACAAAUGCCCUGCUUCCAGGAAAAGCCUCUAAGCAUCAGGUAACAUCAAAUCGUACCCCAAACCGACACAGGUGGUCAGGUAGAGAAUACCAAGGCGCUUGA